UACGGAGGGUGCAAGCGUUAAUCGGAAUUACUGGGCGUAAAGCGUGCGCAGGCGGUUUGUUAAGUCCGCUGUGAAAUCCCCGAGCUCAACUUGGGAAUUGCAGUGGAUACUGGCAAGCUGGAGUACGGUAGAGGAAGGUGGAAUUCCCGGUGUAGCAGUGAAAUGCGUAGAGAUCGGGAGGAACACCAGUGGCGAAGGCGGCCUUCUGGACUGACACUGACGCUGAGGCGCGAAAGUUAGGGGAGCAAACGGG
rnacentral:rRNA from 1 species